rnacentral:rRNA from 1 species
GACAGAGGUGCCGAGCGUUAUGCGGAAUCACUGGGCUUAAAGCGUGUGUAGGCGGGGCCGUAAGUACCUUGUGAAAUCCCGAGGCUCAACCUCGGAACUGCGCCUGAAACUACUUGGCUAGAGUACUGGAGAGGGUAACGGAAUUCACGGUGUAGCAGUGAAAUGCGUAGAUAUCGUGAGGAACACCAGAGGCGAAGGCGGUUACCUGGACAGUUACUGACACUGAGGCACGAAGGCCAGGGGAGCAAACGGG